rnacentral:rRNA from 1 species
CAACCCUUGACAUCCUCUGACCGCCCGGGAGACCGGGUUUUAUCGUAAGAUACAGAGUGACAGGUGCUGCAUGGCUGUCGUCAGCUCGUGUCGUGAGAUGUUCGGUUAAGUCCGGCAACGAGCGCAACCCACAUCCUUAGUUGCCAUCAUUUAGUUGGGCACUCUAGGGAAACUGCCCGUGAUAAGCGGGAGGAAGGUGUGGAUGACGUCAAGUCCUCAUGGCCCUUACGGGUUGGGCUACACACGUGCUACAAUGGCAUCUACAGUGAGUUAAUCUCCAAAAGAUGUCUCAGUUCGGAUUGGGGUCUGCAACUCGACCCCAUGAAGUCGGAAUCGCUAGUAAUCGCGUAACAGCAUGACGCGGUGAAUACGUUCCCGGGCCUUGUACACACCGCCCGUCACACCAUGGGAGUUGGUUCUACCCGACGGCCGUGCGCUAACCCGUAAGGGAGGCAGCGGACCACGGUAGGAUCAGCGACUGGGGUGAAGUCGUAACAAGGUAACC